AACGCAAAUUGCACUCUCUGGUAUUCCGGAGAGUAUGCCUGUUUGAGGGUCAGUUUAAGUAAAAAUCGAGGUGUUGCUUUUUGCGACGCCAUCGGAAUUGGGUUAUCUUUUAUUCCUUUGUAUUUUAAGAGACCUAAAAUUUUUGAUACCUUGUGCAUCUCAAGACGUACAUAAGAAUAUUUUUUUUUUAUCCGUCCGGAGUGCCAAUUUUUUAUUAGGUAUGACCAUGUUGUGGUAUCGUGCCUAUAACAACUCAUAUUUUGACCUCAAAUCAGGUAGGAGUACCCGCUGAACUUAA
rnacentral:misc_RNA from 1 species